UACGUAGGGGGCAAGCGUUGUCCGGAAUCAUUGGGCGUAAAGCGCGCGUAGGCGGCCCUGUAAGUCCGUUGUGAAAGUCAAAGGCUCAACCUUUGAAAGCCGAUGGAUACUGCAGGGCUAGAGUCCGGAAGAGGCGAGUGGAAUUCCUGGUGUAGCGGUGAAAUGCGCAGAUAUCGGGAAGAACACCCAUGGCGAAGGCAGCUCUCUGGGACGGUACUGACGCUGAGACGCGAAAGCGUGGGGAGCAAACAGG
rnacentral:rRNA from 1 species